UACGUAGGGUGCAAGCGUUAAUCGGAAUUACUGGGCGUAAAGCGUGCGCAGGCGGUUUUGCAAGACAGAUGUGAAAUCCCCGGGCUUAACCUGGGAACUGCAUUUGUGACUGCAAGGCUAGAGUGUGUCAGAGGGAGGUGGAAUUCCGCGUGUAGCAGUGAAAUGCGUAGAGAUGCGGAGGAACACCGAUGGCGAAGGCAGCCUCCUGGGAUAACACUGACGCUCAUGCACGAAAGCGUGGAGAGCAAACAGG
rnacentral:rRNA from 1 species